CAGCCGCCACGGUAAUACGUAGGUGGCAAGCGUUGUCCGGAAUUAUUGGGCGUAAAGGGCUCGCAGGCGGUUUCUUAAGUCUGAUGUGAAAGCCCCCGGCUCAACCGGGGAGGGUCAUUGGAAACUGGGAAACUUGAGUGCAGAAGAGGAGAGUGGAAUUCCACGUGUAGCGGUGAAAUGCGUAGAGAUGUGGAGGAACACCAGUGGCGAAGGCGACUCUCUGGUCUGUAACUGACGCUGAGGAGCGAGAGCGUGGGGAGCGAACAGGAUUAGAUACCCCUGUAGUCCCUGUCUCUUAUAC
rnacentral:rRNA from 1 species